rnacentral:lncRNA from 1 species
GCCUAGAAGGUGGGUCUCAUCAUCAGCCCCAUUUUACACCUAGGAAGCGGAGGGACAGAAAGGUGGAGUAAGAUGAAUAAUCACGGGUUUUCUUUCUUCUCUUGUCACCCUUUGUUGCAGUCUGGUGUGUUCUGGCCACACGCUUCCCUCGCCACCUCUUAGCUAUUCGAAAACCUCCAGCUUCACCUUCCCGGCUAGACCCCCGGGCUGGGCGGAGCUUCUAGCUCUAACUGGACCCCCAUGGAUCCACUCCAGAAAUGGAACCCAGCGUUGGUUUCCGGAUCUUCCCAGGUGACCGCUGGGGAGAACUCGCAGGAGGGUGCGGCAGCCUCUCAGCCUUCUUCCUCGGAACAGCUAAUGAUGGGCCUCAGCGGCCUGAACCCCAGUCCUGGUCCUGGCCUCUCUGCCCCUCUGCCAGAGGGGCUGUUCCAGCAGCAGUACAGGGAGGAGAAGACCCUGCGGGAGCGGCGCUGGGAGCGGCUGGGCUUCCCUCAGAGGAAGAAAGCAUUCCUGGGUCACCUGAGACGCAGGCACCGCGAUCACAUGGCACCUUACCCAGUGGAAAGGGAGACCAGGGUCUACCCCACAGGCGACAGAGCUCAGAAUCGGUUCCGAUGUGAAUGUCGCUACUGCCAGGGCCACAGGCCGAGUAUUUCUGGGCUCUCUGGCGAGAGGAAUGGGGCCCCCAACCCUUCCUCCUGGGAAACGCUAGUGCAGGGCCUCAGCGGCUUGACCCUCAGCCUGGGCACCAACCGGUCUGGCCUUCUGCCAGAAGGGGCACAGCAGCAGCAGCAGGAGCAAGAGGAGAAGUGCCAACUGGAGAAGCAGCAGGAAAGCAAGAGAAUGUUCCAGAGGCUGCUCAAGCAGUGGUUGGAAGAAAACUGAGAGCCCCCUGCCCCCUUUCAUGGGGCGGAGACCUGAAGGGAUUCAGACAGUGCUGUGUUGCCAGCUCCUGGGGGUGGGCUCCUUCUGGGGACCAGACAGUCAGCUGUUGUCGGAGGAGUCCCAAGACUAGUUUUGUGACUGGAUGGAUUCCUAUUGGCGUGAGAUUUGACCCACUCCCAGGGAGGUCCUCCUCUUCCUGCCUGUCAUCUGUGAAGCGCUGUGGGGCACCCUGGGGCAAGGCAGACUGCACACCAGUGGACCUCACCUCAUCCCAUAUGGCUCUCAUGCCGCAUGUUGUCGCUUUCCCAGCCUGGAUCUGCGUCUUUGCUCCCUACCUUGUUGUCAGUAAGAUAUAAGAUGUCUAUGUAGUGUGAAUGCCUUGUUCAUGUCCUUGUGCUUUUGUGCCGUUUUAUCGACUGCCUCCUGGGAGCAGUGCUAGGGCUGUUUGAAAUGGCGGUGCGCAACACUGAGAUCCAGGUUCGAGAAUCUGCAGCUAAACAAAGUGUGGGAAAGGGGUGUGGCAUUGGAACUUGGUGGCUCACUAUUGUACUGUCUGUGUAAACUAUUAUGACUAUGAUAAGCUAACUGUAAGUAAAUGUUUCCCUGCUUCUUAACCAUUGAGUAGUAUUCCCUCCGCGCAGGAUUUUCUGAUGGGGUACCUCAUCGUCAAUACCAAAUAAACACGUGUAUGAAAGGAAAGUAACUUUAGAAUUCAGGUUUGUUGAUCGAUAGUGGUUUGUUUCUUGUUGGACCUUGAGAUCCCCGACCAGCAGACCAGAGCAUGUCAAGAGGAGCUCUGCACUGUGGAGAUUCAGAAUGGGGGAGAAGGGGGCUCAAGAACCCUGUCCGGUCACUGUUUCAGGUGCUGUAGUGGGACCAGCAUUCAGACCAGUCAGGCAGCGAGGUUGGAAGCAGGGUCCCCAGAUCCCAGUAGGAGCCCAUGCUGGUUGCCGCUGAUGCCCUGGCUGAGGGGUCCAGGGCCAUUCCUUGUCACCCGGUGCACUGGUUUGGUGAAAGUGUACAGCAGUUUUCCGCCUGCUUCCUGAGAACCAGAGCAUCACUGAGUUAUUUCAAAACUGUAUCUGGAUUUAGACACGUUCUUUUGAUUUCAGGAAGCCUGAGUGAUUAAAUCUACCUAUUUUCCCCUACAGAAGCCCGUGAUGUGUAUCCAGCCACGGACCAUGUGAUUCCUCUGAGCCGAAAACAAAUUCUGCUUUGUGUCAGUCUGUUUUUAGGGAGGCCCCAGCACUACAUUGCUGCAGAAGUCUGCGCGUCUCCUGCCAACACAAGUGGCUUGAGAGCAGGUAAGUUUCUUAGAUUUUCAACUUGGGAUCCCCUCAGAGAACUUGAGAGCUAAACUGACCCGAUCAGGAUCUCGUCUCCCAGUUCCAAGGGAGAGGGUAAAUAAAGAAGGGCGAAUUCUUUCCUGAAACUCAAAGGCCUAAAUCCUAGAACGGGGAUUCUGCAGUGUUCAGAAGGGAUGACAGGGUGAUGCACAUUGGCUGGUUCUUUACCAGGUGUCAGACAGUAUCCUGCGUGUUUCUAUAUGUUAGCUCUUUUUAUCCCCACCACAGACCCAUCACUUAGCAACAAUGUCAGCCCCACAGUAGAGAGCUUGGCCAGGGUCCCCUGGGCGGCAAGAGGCAGAACUGGCACACAAGCCUAGGCAAGGUGGAGUCUAGCUGGCAACCUGAACCUGUUCCCCCUUUGUAAUGGCUAUUGCAAAGUCACCUUACUGACACCUCAUGCCUUCAAGGACCAAGUCUUGGUAAGAUGUGUUGUUGAAUCCUCAGCACAGCGCAACAGGGCAGGGAUGCUUAUUUGUUGCUGAGAGUCUGUGGAGGUUGUAAAGUGGUGGCCAGAGAGGCAAGCCUUUGUCUGACUCCCCACACACUGAGUCACGCUCCUCAGACCUCGCCUCACCAUCCUCAGUUCAUCGGCCACACCAGCUCCGUGAUGCCAAUGACGACCAAGCGUUAAACCAAUCCCCCGGGGUUCAAUUUCCACACUUGAACUCCCCCUAGUCUAGGCCAUGCUGACGGUUGUGGUGGGGAAAUGAGGAAGAAUGGCGCCGUUGGUCCUUGCCCUUAGGCACUGAGCAUUGAAUCAGGGAGGAAGAUUGGGCACUGUCUCAGUCUCUUUUGUAACAAGAUACUACAGACUGGGCAAUUAAUACAGAAGAGAAAGUUAUUUCUCAUGGUUCUGGAUGCCUGGAAGUCCAAGAUCAAAGUACCUGCGUCUGGUUUCUGGUGAGGACCUUCUUCUCACAUGGCAGAAGGUGGAAGGGCAAGCGGAGAUGGACGUCGUUCCUUUCAUGGCAGUGGAGCCAAACCCAUUCACACAAGCCCCCUUUUAACAGAAUUAAUGCAUUCAUGAGGGCAGAUCCCUGGGGACCUAAAUACUUCCCGUUAGGCCACAGCCCACCCCACCCAACCCCGACACUACCACAUUGGGGUUUAAGUUUGCACAUCAGUUUCAGAGGGGACAAAAAGGUUCAAACCAUAGCAUGCACCAACGGAUGGGCUAGGGAGCAGGCAAUCGAUCCCUUGUGUGGGGCGGUUUGUUCAGGGUGAGAGGAGUGAGAAGGAACCCCGUUGGGGCUCCUCCAUGCAGACACGGAGGGCUUGUGGAGGAAUUCAUUACUACAGAGCAAAUCAAAGUAUGCAGGAGAUUGUGUGGAGAAUGGCACCAUAUCCCCGCCUCCAAGACAAAGGUCUCUAUACCCAUGGAUGGGUUGUAGGAGGGGUUCUGGAAGGGAUGUCUCAGACAUCAGACUAUCCAAAGCUACAGGCUAGGAGCUGGAAUCUCAUGGUGUCCACAGACAUCCGACAUGUCAAAUUCUAAACCGGACACUGAAUGAAAGGUACCAGCAGGCAAGAAAACACUGGGGCAGAGAAAGGUUACAAUGGAUGCACAGGAUGAAAACCUGGACAGAUUUAGAGCAUUCCUAUGAAACGGAGAGAGGAAAUGAGAAAUAUCUUCCCACAAUUGAGAAGUCAGGCCCAGGUGACUUUGGGGGUGAAUUCUACCCAACAUUUAAAGAAGAAAUAGUACCAAUCCUUUGCAGACGCUUCCAGAAUGUGGAAGAGGGUGGGGGGUUGGGGGGCAUUUCCCAACUCAUUUGGUGAAGAGCAUUUACUCUGCUACUAAAGCCAGACAGAGACAUCACAGGAAUGCGACAGACCGAUAUCCACCAUGAAUAUCAACACAAAAAGGCUGAAGAAAAUAUGAACGAGUCAGGUGUAGAGGUGCAAACCUGUAAUCCCAGCUAUUUGGGAGACUGAGGCCGAAGGAUUCAAAAGUUUGAAGCCGUCCUGGGCACCUUAGCGAGGCCCCGUUGCAAACUGAAAAAGAAAAAUUAUUUUUACAGGGCCGGGAGUGUACUUCAGUGGUAGGGCGCAUGACCAGCAUGUGUGGGGCCCUGGGUUCCAUCCUCAGUGGCACCAAAAAUAAAGAAAAUAUUCAUGAACCAUAUCCAGCAACAGAUACAAAAUGUUACGCAACAUUUCCAGGUAAAAUUUCUCCUAGGAAUCCACGAUUGGUUAACAUUCCAAUUUCAAUUAAGGUCUUCCACCAUGUUAAUAUAAUAAAGGACAGAAGCGGCAUCAUCAUCUUGAUAGGAAAAGAAAAGGCGUUUGACAAAACCCAAGACACAUUCAUGGAAAAAGAAUUUCUCAACCAACCCCACAUGGUUAGAAGGAAAGGCUCUCAACCUAUAAAGAGCAUCUACCAUAAACCUACAGCUGACAUUAUAUAUUGUAGUGAAAUAACAAACACUUUUCCCGUAAGACUGAGAGCAAGGCAAGGAUGCUCGUUCCCACUGUUCUCUCCACAGGUUCUAUCUGGCGCAGUCACGUAAGAAAAAGAAGUGGAAACGUGGAUACAUUAGAAAGGAAAACACAUGACCACUCAGAGACGUGCUGUGGUUUGUCCCCUCCAAAAUUCAUGUUGAAAUUGAAUCCCCAUUUUUGAGAUCUUAGGAGGGGCCUGUGAGAGGUGAUGAGCGCUCUGCCCUCACCAAUGGACUAGUCUAGGACGAAUCGGGUAAGAGGUUAAUGGGUUGAUCUGGAGAGUGGGUCUGCUAUGAAAGCCAGUUAGGACGGUACCCUCUCUGAUGCUCCAUGUCUCCCUGCCACGAGAUGCCCUACUCCACCUGGGGACCCUGCCAGGAAGAGGGCCAUGGCCAGAUGGGGAACCUCGACUCAGAACCAUGAGCCAAAAUAAACCUCUUUCCUUUAUACCUUCCCAAGUUGAGGAUAUUGGCAACAGCAAACAGGCUAAGACAACGUGUACUCCAUGCUUAUGGCAGUAUUAUUCAUGAUGGCCCCAGAUGAAGACAAUUAAAUGCCUGCCAGUUGUUGAAGGUAUAAAUAAAAGGUGGAAAAAAUAAAAUUAAAAAAAUGAAAAAGUGGAAUUCAGGUAUCCAUAUAGUAGAAUAUUAAUGAGCAAAGUUUAGGGACAAACUACUAAUACGUGCUAUGGCUUGUUUGAAACUUGAAAAUAUUUUCCUAAUGGCCAGAACCCGGGGAGUGGGGAGAGGGGAAGUCCGCUUCUUGCAUGAGUCAGUUUAUAGGGAAUUCCUGGGCCUGGCGGUAGUCAUGGAGAUUGACUGCUACAUGGGUAUGAGGGAAUCUUUUGGGGGCAAGGGAUAGAAGCAUUCUGAAACAGGGUUGUGGUGAUGGUUGCACAACCGCAUGAAUGUACAGAACGUCACUGCAUUGUACCUUUAGUUGCAUGAAUUUCAUGGUAUGCCUCAAUAAAGAUGUUUUUAAAAAUGUAAUGCACACGUGGAAGUUAGUCACGGGGGAAAGGUGUGCAGUCGUUUCUCUACAACAGUAAAGAAUCUGUUGCUCUCUCUCUUUCCUUCUUCUGGGUCCUGCCUACAUUUCCUGCCUAUUUCCUGCAUCCCCCAUGUGCACUUGAUGCUCCAGCCAGACGGUGGCACUGUGCACGUCUGGGUAGAAGGUGUGCUGGUGAGUGCACAACAUGACUGUGUGUGUGCACCAGUAUGCCUGCGCAAUCAUGAGCACAAUUCCAUAACUGGGGGCAGGUUCCCAUAAUCCAUCCUGUGUCCUAAAUUCCAUGUACGUCAUUUUUUACUCACGAAUCUCAAGGAUCCGGCUUCAGUCUCCCUGGUAACCAACCUCGGCUCUCAGCUUCAACCUCUGUUCCCAGGAAGACAUCAGAGUGGGGAGGGCUGUUGUCUCACUCCAGGGCCCCCUGCCUGAACAAGGGACCCUGUGGAGGUGAGCAGCAGCACGGUUUCCAAGACAACGGCAUUCAGAGGCCUCACCACCUGUGAGGCCCUCCUCCUCCCCUCAGCCAUCAAGUAGGAAAGGGGACUUUGUGGAAUAAACACACUCCUGACUCCUUGAGAUUUAUCUACAUAUGCCUAUAAAAUGAAUGGCUCAAACAUAGCUCUCCACAGGGAAGAUACCCAAUCAACCUUUUGGGGGAAAAAAAAAUCAGUGAACAACAAACAAGACCCUCAAGCUCAAGAUUGUAUUUGAAAACAAGACAGGGGGAGGAGGAGUGUGUGUUUAGGAUUCUCAGCCUCAAGCUGCGCAUGAGAUCUCUGGUGGAGUGAUUUUAAGAACAGAUGCAGGGCCGCCGUCCCCAGAGAUCCUGAUUUAGUCAGUCUGAGAUGAACCACCACCAGCACCACCCCUCCCCCCGCAAUGAGUGUUACCUUAUGCUCCACUGAGGAAAGCCUAGGCUGCAGCUGUGGAAAAGGACACGUCUUUAUAGGAGGAAAACCAAAAUCAGAAAUGAGAGGCCCCUCCUUAUGAAGGAAAGCAGGUUUUCAUCAUUCACUGCUGUGCUGUACAGAUUUCUUAGGCUAAGGAAUGGGGAAAACGUUUCACAGGAAAUGCAUGUUUUCAAACAGUACACUACCCUUGAAGAUCUCUGUAUUUCUACAGUUGCAGUUUUGAUGUAGAAACCCUGCAUUUGCUAAUGAAACAUGAGAUUCUUUAUUUCUUCUGAUGAUCCCUUGUGCUUGGGUUCUUUUCACAGUUGGUGAACUGUUGUACAGCACCUUCAUCAGAUACAGCACAGCAGUUAUUUGAAAACGGAAGAUGGCUCCAAUUUGUGUCGGUUGAUGCGGGUGAACCAGCUCUUAGGCAUACUUGCUAAGUGUGUUGAGUUGCAUUUGUGACGCGCUAUGACACCUUGUAAUCAAAUUAAUUCGUGUGUUUAGGCAACAGUCCAAAUAGUGCCAUGAAAAUUGAUGAUGAACAAUAAGAUGCAGAUGCAGCAAUGCCUUAUUUCAAACACAGACACGGAGAGGUGUCUCCCCAACCAUUCUUUAAUUUUUAAUUUUUUUUUUACUUGCAGAUUCUUUUUUUACAAAUUCUUAAUUGUCCUUUUUAGUUAUACAUGACAGUAGAAUCUAUAUUGAUAUUAUAUAUAUUUAUACAAGCAUGGGAUAUAUCUUAUUCUAAUUAGGGUCCCAGUCUUGUGGAUGUACACAAUGGUGAGAUUCACUUGAGGGUAUUCACGUACGUACAUAGGAAAGUUAUGUCAGAUUCAUUCCGCUGUCCUUCCUAUUCCCAUCCCCACUCCCUUCCCUUCAUUCCCCUUUGUCUAAACCACUGAAUGUCUCUUCUUCCAUUCCUCCCACCCUUUGAUGUAGAUUGGCAUCCACACAUCAGAGAGAACAUUUAACCUUUGUUUUUUGGGGGAUUGGCUUAUUUCACUUAGCAUGACAGUCUCCAGAUCCAUCCGUCUACUGGCAAAUGUCAUAAAAAGUCACUCUUCUUUUAUGACUGAGUAAUAUAAUGUUAUAUAUAUAUAUAUAUAUAUAUAUAUAUAUAUAUAGUAAUAUUACGUAUAUAAUCUAAUAUUAAUAAUGUUAUGUGUGUGUGUG